UGAGUGAGACGCUCCUGCCCC
rnacentral:piRNA from 1 species